rnacentral:lncRNA from 1 species
AUCUCCGCUUUGCCGGGUGCCCCAGGCCUAGCGCCCGCCUCUGUUCCGCGUCCCCCUCUGCAGGCGCACGCGAGUUCCCCCUUCCCUCAGCGGCACGGACCGCGCGCCCUGGCCCCUCCGCCUCCCCUCCGCGCCUCUCUCUCCCCGCAGAAAGUUAGCAGCGGGGAAGGAACUCAGGGCUGCGACAGGGCGCGGCGGCGGCGGCAGAGACUGAAGCAGGAGCCGCGUCAGAGCCGGGGAAGCGUGGGCGCUGCAGACGGAGCAGGUGCAGCCAGCGGGUCCGCGCGCCUCCCUUGGGCCCCUUGCCGGAAGCUGAGCCUCCGCCUCCACCUCUCGCCGCGCCGCCGCCGCCUGGCGCGCGAGCUGCUUUCUCUGCACCUUGUCCCUGUCUGUCACCUACCUGUGCUACAGCCUCCUGGGCGGCUCGGGCACCCUGCAGUUCCCCGUGGUGCUACAGGAGCCGCCCGCACUGCCGCCGAGCCCGCCCCCACCCUCUCUACUGCUGCCCCCCAUGCGCCUCGGCACCCCCUCGCAGCCGUCCGCGCUGCCGCCGGACAACGCGAGCCGCGGGGAGCCCCCGGAGCCCUCCAAGCAGCCCCCUGCCCCCGGGCCGACGGCUGGGGUCUGGCGAGCGGCAGCGGGGGUGCUUGGGACACCUGGCUCCGACCCCUGUGGCCCCUGGCAAGAUGAUCAUGGCACAGAGCGCGCUGCUGGAGAGGGAAGCGCAGGAGUCCAGCACCACCCACAAGGAGCUCGCAGGCCGGAGAGCGGUCAAUGGGAGCAGCGAGAGGGGCGGCGCCCUCAGCACCCCCAACUAUGGGGAGAAGAAGCUGCCACAGGCGGUCAUCAUCGGGGUCAAGAAAGGAGGCACCCGCGAGCUGCUGGAGGCGAUCGGAGUCCACCCGGGCAUGCGGGCCGUGGGCGUAGAGCCACGCUUCUUCGACAGGAACUACGAAAAGGGGCUGGAGUGGUACAGCGGGCACUAACAGACUUCCACAGCCUUCAGCCUCCUUCAGAUACUCAAGCACGGAUAUGUCCUCUGCGGAGAACCAGCAUUACAGGCAGAUUUUUAGAGUUGUUAAAAAGCUGGAGCAAGGGGCUGGCCCCGUGGCCGAGUGGUUAA